rnacentral:SRP_RNA from 1 species
ACCGGGCUUGGUAGCGCUUGCUUGUAACUCAAGCGAGGGUCUUAAAGAUGGUUGGACUGUGACUCAGCCUAGUCAGGUUGGUUCCGUUGGAGCAUAAAUCGGCUUGCCCGUUCCAAGUAGUGAGUUGAACCAUGUGGCUUGAGCGAAGGCUUUGGUCACGUGGUUCCUAAAGUAGGGGGCACUGCGUAAGGUUGGCUUCACAGAGCUGUGAACACCCCUCGCUCAUGACAGUGGAAGGAUAAGUCGGGGCUCCAUGGAUCUAUAAGAAUCUACUGGGUUGUCUCAAAUGAACAACCUUCUUU